AACCUCUCAGGGUCACAUGUGGAGAGAUCUAGUACUCUACCAGUCUUGAUUAAGGGAGGGAGAGUCAAGCAGAGGCAUAUCCAUUCCAUUCCUAGUUUGGCCAGUGGCUAGCGAGUGGAAGGCAAUCUGUUCCAAGG